ensembl:misc_RNA Y_RNA Y RNA
GGCUGGUCCGAAGGUAGUGAGGUAUCUCAAUUGAUUGUUCACAGUACAGAUUGAACUCCUUGUUCUACUCUUUCCCCCUUCUCACUACUGCACUUGACUAGUCUUUA